UAAGUGAGUGCUAUAAAUCAAGAUGAAGUCU
rnacentral:piRNA from 1 species